UAGAGUUUGAUCNUGGCUCAGAUUGAACGCUGGCGGCAUGCCUUACACAUGCAAGUCGAACGGCAGCACGGGAGCAAUCCUGGUGGCGAGUGGCGAACGGGUGAGUAAUACAUCGGAACGUGCCCUGUAGUGGGGGAUAACUAGUCGAAAGACUAGCUAAUACCGCAUACGACCUGAGGGUGAAAGUGGGGGACCGCAAGGCCUCAUGCUAUAGGAGCGGCCGAUGUCUGAUUAGCUAGUUGGUGGGGUAAAGGCCUACCAAGGCGACGAUCAGUAGCUGGUCUGAGAGGACGAUCAGCCACACUGGGACUGAGACACGGCCCAGACUCCUACGGGAGGCAGCAGUGGGGAAUUUUGGACAAUGGGGGCAGCCCUGAUCCAGCAAUGCCGCGUGUGUGAAGAAGGCCUUCGGGUUGUAAAGCACUUUUGUCCGGGAAGAAAUCGCACCUGAUAAUACCGGGUGUGGAUGACGGUACCGGAAGAAUAAGGACCGGCUAACUACGUGCCAGCAGCCGCGGUAAUACGUAGGGUCCAAGCGUUAAUCGGAAUUACUGGGCGUAAAGCGUGCGCAGGCGGUUGUGCAAGACCGAUGUGAAAUCCCCGGGCUUAACCUGGGAAUUGCAUUGGUGACUGCACGGCUAGAGUGUGUCAGAGGGGGGUAGAAUUCCACGUGUAGCAGUGAAAUGCGUAGAGAUGUGGAGGAAUACCGAUGGCGAAGGCAGCCCCCUGGGAUAACACUGACGCUCAUGCACGAAAGCGUGGGGAGCAAACAGGAUUAGAUACCCUGGUAGUCCACGCCCUAAACGAUGUCAACUAGUUGUUGGGGAUUCAUUUCCUUAGUAACGUAGCUAACGCGUGAAGUUGACCGCCUGGGGAGUACGGUCGCAAGAUUAAAACUCAAAGGAAUUGACGG
rnacentral:rRNA from 1 species